UUGCGGGUUCUGUGCGAUGUGGCCCAUGAACCCUGUCAGGUCCGGAAGGAAGCAGCAGUAAGUGGCAACCCACAGGUGCUG
rnacentral:SRP_RNA from 1 species